UCUUGAAUGAUCUUGUAUUGGGUUGGUAAAAAGAUGUUGAGAAGCACUUAAGAGGUCCCUUUUAUAGCCCAAAAAGCAAAUAUAGCCGUUAGACACAAAAAAGAGACGUUUGAAAUUCAAAUCAAACCUGAAAAGCUGUCAGUCGCGUUCCAGUCGCUCCGGGGACGUCUCCGCUUCAACGGGAGACGUCUCGGCUACAAGAUUUUACUUUUUCCAUUGUCUGGGGUCGACUCGGCACUUUCAGGGGACGUCUCGGCUUGUUUGCACUUUUUGAAUGGGGACGACUCCGCUGAUCUGGGGACGACUCCGCUUCUUUAUCUCCGAAGAACAUGUCCUCUGGAAUUUCCUGAGAGAGUCGACUCCGCUCCUUCAGGGGACGUCUCGCGCAUAUCUCUUGAAAACUGCCUUUCUGCCGCCACUGAGAGAGUCGACUCCGCUACUGAGAGAGUCGACUCCGCUAACGCGGGGACGACUCGGCAGGUGUCGGGGACGUCUCCAAGUGU
rnacentral:lncRNA from 1 species